AACGCACAUUGCGCCCGCCAGUAUUCUGGCGGGCAUGCCUGUUCGAGCGUCAUUUCAACCAUCAAGCCCCCGGCUUGUGUUGGGGACCUGCGGCUGCCCGCAGGCCCUGAAAACCAGUGGCGGGCUCGCUGUCACCCCGAGCGUAGUAGAAGAGAUUGUCAACCUCGCUAUGGGACGUUCCUGGCACCGCCUCGGCCGUAAAAAGUUUUAAGGGGAAGGGAGGGGUUAACCCCCCGCCCGUCCCCCCCCCCGAAGAGUUGACCUCGGAUCAGGUAGGGAUACCCGCUGAACUUAA
rnacentral:misc_RNA from 1 species